GCGCGGCGUACGGGUUCGGUACGCGGUUCGUCCUCGCGCAGUCCCUGACCGAGGUUGGCGGCGAGCUGGUGCACACCCAGGGCCGCGUA
rnacentral:tRNA from 1 species